rnacentral:rRNA from 1 species
GAUGAACGCUGGCGGCGUGCCUAAUACAUGCAAGUCGAGCGAACAGAUAAGGAGCUUGCUCCUUUGACGUUAGCGGCGGACGGGUGAGUAACACGUGGGUAACCUCCCUAUAAUACUGGGAUAACUUCGGGAAACCGGAGCUAAUACCGUAUAACAUUUUGAAGCGCAUGGUUCUAAGGAGAAAGAUGGUUUUUCUGUCACUUAUAGAUGGACCCGCGCCGUAUUAGCUAGUUGGUAAGGUAACGGCUUACCAAGGCGACGAUACGUAGCCGACCUGAGGGGGUGAUCGGCCACCCUGGAACUGAGACAGGGUCCAGACUCCUACGGGAGGCAGCAGUAGGGAAUGUUCCGCAAUAGGCGAAAGCCUGACGGAGCAACGCCGCGUGAGUGAUAAAGGGUUUCGGCUCGUAAAAACCUGUUAUUAGGGAAGAACAAAUGUGUACGGAAAUGUGCACGUCUUGACGGUAACUAAUCAGAAAGCCACGGCUAACUACGUG